rnacentral:lncRNA from 1 species
UCUGUGUAUGCAAUGCUGUGUGUGUGUGUGGAUGUGUGUGUGUGUGUGUAUAUAUGUGCGUGUGUCUAUAUGCACUAAAUGCAAGUCACAACUGGUGGCAAAAGAUGAUAAUUAUGCAUACAUGGCAUUCACAUGUUGAAGUAACAGUGUAGGUCACACAGAGCCUUGUGUACAUGUACUAAAUGUACAUACAUACCUCACCCCUCCCGCAGCAGCCGGGGGUCUCUAACUGUCACUGGUCACUGUUGGAAGAAACAAAUGAACUUAUUAUUGACAUAAGAAUAUCAGUGGAAAUGUCUAGGAUAAGGAGGGAGGUUGUGUUGAUACUGUGUGAGGGAGGUCUAGGGUAAGGAAGGAGGUGUGUGAGGGAGGUCUAGGAUAAGGAGGGAUGUGUGUGAGGGAGGUCUAGGGUAAGGAGGGAAGUGUGUGAGGGAGGUCUAGGGUAAGGAGGGAUGUGUGUGAGGGAGGUCUAGGAUAGGAGGGAAGUGUGUGAGGGAGGUCCAGGAUAAGGAAGGAAGUUGUGUGAGGGAGGUCCAGGAUAAGGAG